rnacentral:rRNA from 1 species
UACAGAGGUGGCAAGCGUUAUCCGGAGUUACUGGGCGUAAAGAGUGCGUAGGCGGACCUGUAAGUGGGUGGUGAAAGCGCCCGGCUAAACCGGGCGAGGUUCAUUCAGACCGCAGGUCUAGAGGCGGAUAGAGGGGUGCGGAAUUCCGGGUGUAGCGGUGAAAUGUGUAGAGAUCCGGAGGAACACCAGUGGUGCAAACGGCGCCCUGGGUCCGAACUGACGCUGAAGCACGAAAGCGUGGGGAGCGAACGGG